ACCUUCUAUGGCAAGAGACCCCAGAAUUGUAAAAGGAACAGAAACUGAAAAGACAGACUCUGAAAACUGUUCUGUGUGCAUCCUUUUCCAUGACGGUAUCACCUGACAGUCAUUUGUUGCUGUCAAUCAGCUUAGCAGCGGGGAAGGACGGACCCCCAGCACUGAGUCCAUUGCGGGAGGGAACGGGAUGCCAGCCUGGACUCCGAGCCGUCUCCUGUACCUGGCCUGGAAAUUCACGCUUCUCUCCACAGAUGGCACAGCUCCUGUCUCCUGUCUGCUUACAGUAUUCUAUAAGAAGUUUACGAUUGUAGCCGUUACGUGCUUGGCAUAUUUUAUCAUGGAAUGUGGUGUUAUGCGUUAUAAUAUCUACUUUUGUUUGUUUUUCAUUUUGUUUGCUUUUCUUUCUUUUUCUUUUUUUUUUUGUUUUUUUGAGACAGGGUUUCUCUGUGUAGUCCUGGCUGUCCUAGAACUCCCUACUCUGUAGACCAGGCUGGUCUCAAACUCAGAGAUCUACCUGCUUCUGCCUCCCAAGUGCUGGGAUAAAAGGUGUGAGCCACCACGGCUCGACACACCUACAUGUUUUUAAAUGCCAUGCUAUUCUUGUUAUUUAAUAACAGUUUGCCUAUGUCAUUUGAUGUAAUUCUCACAACAGCCUUUAUGUGACUAUUUAGUACCCCCAUUUUGCAUGGAAGGAAUUUGAGGCUUUUCCAAAUUAACUGGCUGGGAGUGGGAUAAAGGGUCCAGACUUUUGAGUCUGCAGCCCUCAAUGCAGCUAUCAUGUUUAUUAUGCAGCUAUCAUGUUUAUUUUGUGUGUAAUAUUAUGUAAUGUGUUAGAAGAGAUGCAGAGGACAAUGCUGAGCGAGUCCUAGGCUACUGCAUGGCAUUCCUGGGGCUGCUCUUCUGGAAGGCUGGGACCCAGGGAGAAUCAAGCCCCGGUCAGAGAAGCCUGAUCCACCAGAGGCGCUCUGCAAUUAGCCAGGCCCUGCUUUUUGAUUUAAUUCUUCCCCUAAUGUGUGUUCAUCAUGUAGCUCUGGAAAGAUUGGUAUUCAGGGAAGUAGCAUCAAAGACGGUAAUUAAAGUGUCUCUGCUGACAGGCGGUGUCUGGGAACAGACCUGUUUGAUUCCGCAAAGGAAAUCAUUGGUGUUCUAACAGGAGGCAGGAAACUUUUGAUUAGCGAGUGAUAGAUAAACAGAUCGAUGCCUUUUCUGGCAACAUUUCAGCUUCAUUAUUGUCACUGGGAAAGAGACAGGGAUGGAGUGCAGAGCAGAGGAGGUCCUGCUGGGUCCUUUGGGGCUUGAAAGCAGGCAGGGGCUGGGGAAGGUCAAUGCCAGGCUGGGCAAUAGGGUUGUGGCUGGCUGGCUCUAGGUCUUAGGGAAAUGAGGCUGUGUCUCCAGCAACAUCUCCAUGAGACCUCAGACAGGGGCUGAUGAGAAUCUCCUGGUCGCCAAGCUUCUUGGUGAUCAGCUAAGUCUGUGUUCCCAGCCACCACAGCCCCUCUGCAUUAUUGCUGCUCUCUCAAGGUCAGGGGAAGUUAAGACCAGAGAUUAUACUGUGUCAGUGGGGCCUUUUUGAAAUAUGACUCUGUAAUCUCUUUCCACACCAGAGGAGAGAUGCCAAAAUCGCACUUCAAUCUCCAGCUCGCAAUGGGCUUAUUGGGAUUUUAGCAGAGCUCUGCCUGGAUAAGACUGUUUCUUCUCCCAGGGUGCCCUUUUACAAACUUCGGUUAAGCAAGGCCGCAACUUAGCGAGGGAGGCUUUGCAGGUGUCAGGGGCCAUGGAGCCCAGCAGACAGGGCAGGGGAUAGGCCACCCAGCACGGUCUAUCCUGAUGUAAGUGCCCUCUGGGAAGAUGAGGUCUAAAGUGGGUGUCCCUGGCCUACAUGUGCACAUGUGUGUACACACACAUCCCAGUUGUGUGGGGAGCAAGCUCUGGAUUACCCUGAGAUUACACACGGCACAGGAAGAUUGCCUGCACCAGGCACUUAGUAGGCACUCAAUCAAUGGGAAGGUCACUGUGCUCUGACUCUGUCCCUUGGAUCUUUUUCAUUUUGAGUGUGGUUGGGUGGUAUGUGUACGUGUGUGUAUGUGUACAUGUACAUGUACGUGUGUGUGUGUGUAUGUGUGUGUGUGUGUGUGUGUGUGUGUGUGUGUGUAGGCCAGAAGUAGAUUUGGGUGUCUCCAUCUAUCCCUCUCCAUCCUAAUUUUUGAGACACUGUCUAUCACUGAACCUAGGGUUUCAUGAUUCAGCUAGACUAGCUGGCCAGCGAGCCUCCCCUGUCUACCUGUGUCCCCUCCAACUCCAGACCGGGGCUACAGUCACACACUGUUGUACCUGUUUUUCGCAUGGGUUCCGGGGAUCUGAAUUAAGGUCUUCGUGUUUGUUGAGCAAGCACUUAACCCACUCCCCCAACUGCUCCCUUGAGUCUGAAGAGAUCUCGCGGAGAAUCAAGGCAGCCCGACAGUUCCACUGUGCUCUGUCUUCCCAGAACUGUGAGAGCUGUGAACCCACCACCCCUUUCCUGCUCUAAGCAUCCUGGGGGCAGCCACCUGGGAUAUAGUGAUUUCCAAGGAGAAGGAAUCUCUGUGGUUUGGCCUCUAUAUGAUGUUGUACCUGCCAUCUUAUACUGAAAGGAAAUAGAGACUGAGUAGAGUCCAUCAGUGUGGUGGUGGUGGUGGUGGGUAGCAGGAGGGACAGGCCUGUGCUUCAGUCCACACUCCAUGCUGCAUUUCCUGUUUUCCCAAGUGGUCCCUUGUGACCUCUCCUAGCUUCCUUCUUGAUUUUCUUCCUCUUCACUCUAGGCACCUCUCACCACGUGACAGAAGUGAACCAGCAGGAAGGGAAGGAGUGAUUCCUUUUGGCUCGUGGCUUCAGACCUCUCAGCCUGGGUCUGAAUUAGGCUUCUUCUAUCCAUCGCUGUGAAAACACCACGACCAACAACAACUUAGGGCAGAACUCAGCCUGGGUCUGAAUUAGUCUUCUUCUACCUAUCGCCAUGAAAACACCAUGACCAAUAACAACUUAGGGUGGAAACGGUUGUUUCAUCUUAACAACCUCAGGUCACACCCCAUCCAUGAGGGAGUCAGGACAGGAACUCAGGGUAGGAACUGAAGCAGAAGUCAUGGGGACCCACUGCUCUCUGACUUUCUCCCCAUGGCUUGCUCAGCUUGCUUUCUUAUACAAUCCAGGACCCCCUUCCCAGGGUGGUACUGCCCAAAGUGAGCCGGGCCCUCCAACAUCAAUCAUUAAUCAAGAGACUGCCCCAUAGGCUUGCCUACAGGCCAUGUAAUG